GACGAACCGGACAAACGUUAUUCGGAAUUAUUGGGUUUAAAGGGUGCGUAGGCGGCGCGAUAAGUUGGGUGUGAAAUCCCUUGGCUCAACCAAGGAACUGCGCCCAAUACUGUCGUGCUUGAGGGAGACAGAGGCGAGCGGAACUGAUGGUGGAGCGGUGAAAUGCGUUGAUAUCAUCAGGAACACCAGUGGCGAAAGCGGCUCGCUGGGUCUCUUCUGACGCUGAGGCACGAAAGCUAGGGUAGCGAACAGG
rnacentral:misc_RNA from 1 species